AAGUCAUGUCACACUUCUUAACAAAAUACCCAAGUUAGACGAAUAAAUCAGAAAAAAAAAAAAAUGUACAAAGUCUAACCAACAAUUCGUGGGGACGCGUACACUAACACGAUAAAAAUAUUGCAUGAUCGCGCAACACGAGUUAACUCAAUUUUUGCCGGUCAUCGAGUUUCAGUACACGAAUGAUGAAUGACAAACAACACUAAAAGAUAUGCCAUGUCCAUACCGUUGAACAGUUAACACACGAUGUGUCUCACGAUUUCUUUCCCUCUCACGUUUUCUUCUUCGACCAACUAAUCUGUCGUUCGACAACUCACCGGUCUAUCUCUCUGUAGUUUCCCUAUGUUUCUUUCGAUCACAGCGUCCUUUUCUGAUCGAAUUACUUCCCGUUAGGACUAAUUUCUCGUUCUCUCUGACAGAUAAACACUACGAAUGCGGCGGGUUCUCGCAGCGUGUGCGCCAGCGUCAGUAAGAUUGACAGUCGGCGCUGAUGACAGACAGUCGAUAGGCCAAGCAGUCUUCAUCAUCAUGCAAUUGUUUAUAUCGGUAAAGAGUGAGGAGACACUAUGCAAGGAAAGAUUAUUUCUUACUGAUGCCGGCGACGUGCGGAAAACGUGAGAUCCGUACGAAAUACGGAUAGAAAAAUAAUAAAUUUGAUAAAAUUUGAGACAUACGGAAGCUAUAAGAAAUACAAAAUAUGAUAAAUAUUGUAUUUUAUUAUAUUAUUUCCAUAAAGUUAACAGUUAUUCGAAAUAUCUCUGUUACAAAAGUUACUCCGUUAUGAAUGUUUAGAAGUAAAAUGUUGUGUUUAAUCGUGUUCCUCUAUCUAGUAUUAUGUAAAGUAUUUCUUAAUAUUAAUAAAUAUUCUUUUAUCUACCAAUUACAAUAAAAAAUCUCUUAUCUCUUCUUGUAAACAUGCAACUUGUAAUCUUUUUU